UCCCUGGGGGCCUAGUGGUCAGGGAUCCAGCAUUGUCAUGGCUGGGGUUCAGGUUCAAUCCCUGGCCUGGGAA
rnacentral:tRNA from 1 species